rnacentral:rRNA from 1 species
CGGCGUGCUUAACACAUGCAAGUCGAACGGAAAGGCCCUGCUUUUGUGGGGUGCUCGAGUGGCGAACGGGUGAGUAACACGUGAGUAACCUGCCCUUGACUUUGGGAUAACUUCAGGAAACUGGGGCUAAUACCGGAUAGGAGCUCCUGCUGCAUGGUGGGGGUUGGAAAGUUUCGGCGGUUGGGGAUGGACUCGCGGCUUAUCAGCUUGUUGGUGGGGUAGUGGCUUACCAAGGCUUUGACGGGUAGCCGGCCUGAGAGGGUGACCGGCCACAUUGGGACUGAGAUACGGCCCAGACUCCUACGGGAGGCAGCAGUGGGGAAUAUUGCACAAUGGGCGGAAGCCUGAUGCGGCAACGCCGCGUGCGGGAUGACGGCCUUCGGGUUGUAAACCGCUUUCGCCUGUGACGAAGCGUGAGUGACGGUAAUGGGUAAAGAAGCACCGGCUAACUACGUGCCAGCAGCCGCGGUGAUACGUAGGGUGCGAGCGUUGUCCGGAUUUAUUGGGCGUAAAGGGCUCGUAGGUGGUUGAUCGCGUCGGAAGUGUAAUCUUGGGGCUUAACCCUGAGCGUGCUUUCGAUACGGGUUGACUUGAGGAAGGUAGGGGAGAAUGGAAUUCCUGGUGGAGCGGUGGAAUGCGCAGAUAUCAGGAGGAACACCAGUGGCGAAGGCGGUUCUCUGGGCCUUUCCUGACGCUGAGGAGCGAAAGCGUGGGGAGCGAACAGGCUUAGAUACCCUGGUAGUCCACGCUGUAAACGGUGGGUACUAGGUGUGGGGUCCAUUCCACGGGUUCCGUGCCGUAGCUAACGCUUUAAGUACCCCGCCUGGGGAGUACGGCCGCAAGGCUAAAACUCAAAGGAAUUGACGGGGCCCCGCACAAGCGGCGGAGCAUGCGGAUUAAUUCGAUGCAACGCGUAGAACCUUACCUGGGUUUGACAUGGAUCGGGAGUGCUCAGAGAUGGGUGUGCCUCUUUUGGGGUCGGUUCACAGGUGGUGCAUGGCUGUCGUCAGCUCGUGUCGUGAGAUGUUGGGUUAAGUCCCGCAACGAGCGCAACCCUUGUUCACUGUUGCCAGCACGUUAUGGUGGGGACUCAGUGGAGACCGCCGGGGUCAACUCGGAGGAAGGUGGGGAUGACGUCAAGUCAUCAUGCCCCUUAUGUCCAGGGCUUCACGCAUGCUACAAUGGCUGGUACAGAGAGUGGCGAGCCUGUGAGGGUGAGCGAAUCUCGGAAAGCCGGUCUCAGUUCGGAUUGGGGUCUGCAACUCGACCUCAUGAAGUCGGAGUCGCUAGUAAUCGCAGAUCAGCAACGCUGCGGUGAAUACGUUCCCGGGGCUUGUACACACCGCCCGUCAAGUCACGAAAGUUGGUAACACCCGAAGCCGGUGGCCUAACCGUUGUGGGGGAGCCGUCGAAGGUGGGACUGGUGAUUAGGACUAAGUC